rnacentral:rRNA from 1 species
AAUGAACGCUGGCGGCAGGCCUAACACAUGCAAGUCGAACGAGAAGAGGACGGGCGAGUAAUGUCUGAGAACCUGCCUGAUGGAGGGGGAUAACUACUGGAAACGGUAGCUAAUACCGCAUAACAUCCGAUGUGCUCAGGGGGGAUUAGCGAGUUGGGGGGGUAACGGCUCACCAAGGCGACGAUCCCUAGCUGGUCUGAGAGGAUGACCGGCCACACUGGAACUGAGACACGGUCCAGACUCCUACGGGAGGCAGCAGUGGGGAAUAUUGCGCAAUGGGCGCAAGCCUGAUGCAGCCAUGCCGCGUGUAUGAAGAAGGCCGUCGGGUUGUAAAGUACUGUUGGCGGGGAGGCGUUACCCACAGAAGAAGCAACGGCUAACUCCGUGCCAGCAGCCGCGGUAAUUC